rnacentral:rRNA from 1 species
GGCGAACGGGUGAGUAACGCGUUAGGUAAUCUGCCCUCAGGCGGGGGACAACCCGGGGAAACCCGGGCUAAUACCGCAUGUGGCUGUAAAGCUAAAGCCGGCCUCUGCUUGCAGGCUGGUGCCUGGGGAUGAGCCUGCGUCUGAUUAGCUAGACGGUGGGGUAACGGCCUACCGUGGCGAUGAUAAGUAGGCGGCUUUAACGAGUGGUCGCCCACACUGGGAUUGAGAUACGGCCCAGACUCCUACGGGAGGCAGCAGUCGAGGAUAGUCUACAAUGGCCGAGAGGCUGAUAGUGCGACGCCGCGUGAACGAGGAAGCAUUUCGGUGUGUAAAGUUCUUUUCCAUGGGAGCAGGGCUUUGGAUGUUAAGAGCGUCCGGAGUUUGAUAUUACUAUGGGAAUAAGCCACGGCUAACUCCGUGCCAGCAGCCGCGGUAAUACGG